rnacentral:rRNA from 1 species
UACGGAGGGUGCAAGCGUUAAUCGGAAUUACUGGGCGUAAAGCGUGCGUAGGCGGUUCGUUAAGUCUGUUGUGAAAGCCCCGGGCUCAACCUGGGAAUGGCAAUGGAUACUGGCGAGCUAGAGUGUGUCAGAGGAUGGUGGAAUUCCCGGUGUAGCGGUGAAAUGCGUAGAGAUCGGGAGGAACAUCAGUGGCGAACGGCG